rnacentral:rRNA from 1 species
AUUGAACGCUGGCGGCAUGCCUUACACAUGCAAGUCGAACGGUAACAGGUCUUCGGUUGCUGACGAGUGGCGAACGGGUGAGUAAUACAUCGGAACGUGCCCAGACGUGGGGGGUAACGAGGCGAAAGCUGUGCUAAUACCGCAUACGAUCUAAGGAUGACAGCAGGGGACCGCAAGGCCUUGCGCGUUUGGGGCGGCCGAUGGCAGAUUAGGUAGUUGGUGGGAUAAAAGCUUACCAAGCCGACGAUCUGUAGCUGGUCUGAGAGGACGACCAGCCACACUGGAACUGAGACACGGCCCAGACUCCUACGGGAGGCAGCAGUGGGGAAUUUUGCACAAUGGGCGAAAGCCUGAUCCAGCAAUGCCGCGUGUAUGAUGAAGGCCUUCGGGUUGUAAACUGCUUUUGUAGGGAACGAAAAGGCUCUGGCUAAUACCUGGGCUACAUGACGUUACCGGAAGAAUAAGCACCGGCUAACUACGUG